AACGAACGCUGGCGGCAUGCCUAACACAUGCAAGUCGAACGAGACCUUCGGGUCUAGUGGCGCACGGGUGCGUAACGCGUGGGAAUCUGCCCUUGGGUUCGGGAUAACAGUUGGAAACGACUGCUAAUACCGGAUGAUGUCUUCGGACCAAAGAUUUACCGCCCAAGGAUGAGCCCGCGUAGGAUUAGCUUGUUGGUGAGGUAAGAGCUCACCAAGGCGACGAUCCUUAGCUGGUCUGAGAGGAUGAUCAGCCACACUGGGACUGAGACACGGCUCAGACUCCUACGGGAGACAGCAGUGGGGAAUAUUGGACAAUGGGCGAAAGCCUGAUCCAGCAAUGCCGCGUGAGUGAUGAAGGCCUUAGGGUUGUAAAGCUCUUUUACCCGGGAUGAUAAUGACAGUACCGGGAGAAUAAGCCCCGGCUAACUCCGUGCCAGCCGCCGCCGUAA
rnacentral:rRNA from 1 species